ACAAACUUGGUCAUUUAGAGGAAGUAAAAGUCGUAACAAGGUUUCCGUAGGUGAACCUGCGGAAGGAUCAUUAUUGAAAUGUUUUGAAGGGGAUUGUUGCUGGCCUAUAACAAGGCAUGUGCACGUCUUCUUUCAAUCUAUUCAUCCACCUGUGCAUCUUUUUGUAGGAGCCCUGUUAGGAUGGUUGAAUGGGGUCUAUUACUUCUGUGUAGGCCUUGUUGACAGUCCUGGGGCUUCUAUGUCUCACAAACUCUAAUGAAUGUAUCUGAAUGUCAUUUAUUGGGACUUAACUGGCCCUCUAAACUUAUACAACUUUCAGCAACGGAUCUCUUGGCUCUCGCAUCGAUGAAGAACGCAGC
rnacentral:misc_RNA from 1 species